AUUGAACGCUGGCGGCAGGCCUAACACAUGCAAGUCGAACGGUAACAGGAAGACGCUUGCUUCUUUGCUGACGAGUGGCGGACGGGUGAGUAAUGUCUGGGAAACUGCCUGAUGGAGGGGGAUAACUACUGGAAACGGUAGCUAAUACCGCAUAACGUCGCAAGACCAAAGAGGGGGACCUUCGGGCCUCUUGCCAUCGGAUGUGCCCAGAUGGGAUUAGCUAGUAGGUGGGGUAACGGCUCACCUAGGCGACGAUCCCUAGCUGGUCUGAGAGGAUGACCAGCCACACUGGAACUGAGACACGGUCCAGACUCCUACGGGAGGCAGCAGUGGGGAAUAUUGCACAAUGGGCGCAAGCCUGAUGCAGCCAUGCCGCGUGUAUGAAGAAGGCCUUCGGGUUGUAAAGUACUUUCAGCGGGGAGGAAGGGAGUAAAGUUAAUACCUUGGCUAAUUGACGUUACCCGCAGAAGAAGCACCGGCUAACUCCGUG
rnacentral:rRNA from 1 species